rnacentral:rRNA from 1 species
GCAAGUCGAACGAGAAAGCUCCCUUCGGGGAGUGAGUACAGUGGCGAACGGGUGAGUAACGGGUGGGAAACCUGCCUUUCUGUGGGGGAUAACAUUCCUAACGGGGUGCUAAUACCGCAUGGUUCGGCGCAUCGCAUGGUGUGCCGAUAAAGAUGGCCUCUACAUGUAAGCUGUCGCAGAAAGAUGGUCCCGCCUCCCAUUAGCUUGUUGGUGGGGUAAUGGCCUACCAAGGCGAUGAUGGGUAGCCGGCCUGAGAGGAUGAUC